ACGUAGGUGGCAAGCGUUGUCCGGAAUCACUGGGCGUAAAGCGCGCGCAGGCGGCCAUUUAAGUCUGGGGUGAAAGCCCGAAGCUCAACUUCGGGACUGCCUUGGAUACUGGGUGGCUUGAGCAUCAGAGAGGCAAGGGGAAUUCCACGUGUAGCGGUGAAAUGCGUAGAGAUGUGGAGGAACACCAGUGGCGAAGGCGCCUUGCUGGCUGAUUGCUGACGCUGAGGCGCGAAAGCGUGGGGAGCAAACAGGA
rnacentral:rRNA from 1 species